rnacentral:lncRNA from 1 species
AUAUUUAAUAAUUUAUUAUGUAUUUGGCACUUGCAUACCACCUUUCAUCCAUGGUUCUUAAAAGACUUCAGAGAUGUCAAUAGAUGAUACAAACAGAAUAAUGUCUUAUUAUAAUAAAGCCAUUUUGCAUGUUCAUAAAGAGGCAGAAACUUCAUUCCUAAAAGAAUGAAUUGUUUUAUCUAUAAUAAUAAAAAAAAAAGAGAGUCUGUAAGAAAGUGGGACAUAAAAGUAGAAAUCUUAAUUUCCAACACUUCCUUGUGAACUUUUUGAGGACGUAGAAUGCUUUAGGCAGAAUAAUGAUUUUAUACUUUUAAAAAAGUACCUGCUUGACUAACAUUUUUUAUUCAUGGUGCUUUUAAGGCCUCCCACAGAUGGUGGAUAUUUGCCCUCCUGCACAGUAUCCUGCCAGCUGAAGGGGUUUUACCUCUGUGUAAAGCAGCAACUCAAAACCUCUGUGAUUAGGUUCACGUGCAAAUAUUUUUUUUUAUAUGUUACCAAUAAAUAAGAGGUUGUCUGUAAAGCCUUUUUCCCCCAAAUGCAAAACAAGUAAUGGAUGACCACAAAAAUCAGAGACACUAUAGCCUCAAUCUCCAUUAGAGUUUCAUUUUUUUUAUAUAGAUUACAUUAUUUCUCCCCAUCACCCAAAUUAUACGUAGAUUAGAUUAGUAAAUGUAUGAGGUUUUGCAGCUAAAAUUUCCAAAAACCCUUUCAAUAUGACAGUUUAGGCUUUAAUAAGGUGUAAAGAAACCACUGAAAGGAGAAAUCUGAGACUUAGAGCAUGGUACUGUACACCAGUGCCCACUACCCAGAAGGGCUGGUCACACUUGGUAUAUCCUAUAAAUCCUAUAUCUAUCCUAUAUAUCCUACAUCUAUAGCCUAUAGAAACGUCCUUUAGCUGAUGGGAAAUCCACCAGAAAUUGAUCAAGUGGUAAUGUGGUGGAUAUAGCUAUGAAGGUGGGUUCAAAGAAGGUCCAAAGAAUUCCAAAUGGUGUUCAUUGAGAUUCUGUGAUUAUUUUACUGUAAUCAUUUACUCAGAGGAUAAUAAAAGCACCUGAUUUUGGCUUGUGCAUAUUAUUACUUCACAUUGAAUUAAAAGAAAACUGAGAAAUUAAAUGGAACUAUUAGAAGGAAAAUUCUUUAAUGUAUAAAGCCCUUCAAAAUAGAAUGCUACAUGAAGUACUUAUCAUUAAAAACAUUAUUAUUCACCAGUAGUUACUGCACUGAUAUUAUUCUCAUAUGCUAUUCUAAACAACUGGGUUACCACACUGUGGUUUCUUGGAAAAUACAUGGGUUUUAAUUGCAGUAACAUUACCUGCAUUAAUGGCAUGGUAGGAUGUGGGUAAACGUGCAUUUGUGCUUAGGGCUGUCCAGCACAUCCUCUGGAAGAGGCUGUUUGCUGCUAUGCAUGUGUCAGCAGGCUUUGUCCUGCAGGAACACAGUGCCCUUAGCCAGGGGGGUGCUGUGAACUGAUGCUGCUGUGGAAGUGCCACGAGCAGGGGCUGGGCAGCCACGGUGAGGCAGCUCCCCUCUGCCUCAUCUGAAAGCCUCUAACACCUUCUCAUUUUGAAGUUUCAGACAUGCUUUGCAGCAAUGCAAGUUUUGGGAAUGUAGUGGGGGAUUAAGGUCAUGUUAGGCCAGUGAAAGGCCUUUUCACACUAACUGAAACACACACUUUUGGACAUAUGCAAAUACAUAAUCUGAGUAAGUUUGGUAGCAUCUGACAACAAAUCUGGAUGCUCUUAUAUGCAGACAGAUAAGCUUACUAUGUAUUUUACUACAUAGCUUUGCAUUCCACUUUUACUUUCCUGGCAGUUUGCCUCUCUUUCUUUAUAUGUUAUUUGGCUCAAUUCUUGUUUCAGUUACAGAAGUCUGCUUUCCUUUUCCCUUUAAACACAUAGAGUAUUGAAAAACACACAUAAAAAUAUACAAAUACCUGAUGGUAGGGAGCCAGGCUCUACUCAAUGGUAUGCAGUGACAGGACAGGCACACACUGAAAUACAGGAAAUUCAGCUUAAACAAAAUAAAUACUGUUUUUUACUGUGGAGACAAUCUAAUGCUGGAAUAGGUUGCUGAAACAGUCUGUGGUUUAACAUUCUCCACCCAUGGAAAUACUUAAAACACAAGUGCAUGUGGUCCUGGGCAGCCAGCUCUAGCUGACACUGCUUGAGCAGGCGAGUUGGAUGGGAUGGCAUCUGCAGGUGCUUUCCAUCCUCAGGUGUCCUAUGAGUAUGUGAAUACAUCUGGUUUCUGUAACACACACAAAUAUAUGUUAAAAAAAAAUGAAGACUUCAUUAUGUGGUCUGGGGACCUGAGUUUAUCUUGGUCAGUCUGUGCUACUGCUCAGGAGUUUGGCUAACCUGUAUUGGGGGGUGUUUCAGCUCUCCAGUGCUUCCUCUCUGGCACAGCCACAGUCACAGUCACAAAAGGGACUGAAAACAUCCUGAGACAAGAGAAAGGAGGAAAAGGAUGUGGUUCAACUCCAAAUUGCUGCGAUUGAAGACCUUCCAGGCCCUCUUGGCAGAGCUGCUGGUCAGGGGUGGCAAGUACCCUCAUCCUCUGAGUUGAGGGGCACACACGACAGGAAAAGAGAGCAGGAAAAGAAAGGCAUUGCCAUGUGCAUCAUGCCAGUGGUGCUGUCGCCUUCGGGGUUCCAUUCUGCUGGACCUUCCCUCCACUCUGUAGCCAAGAGCACAGAACAGACCUGGGCAAGGGACAGCAGCUGAAAAAGCUGUAGGUGGUAGACCUGGCAAUAGCUUCCACUUAAAAUAAGAAUAACCACAUACAAACUCUCCACAAAUAAAUGAAGAGGAAGGCUAAGUGAAGAACAUCAAGCUACUUUGACAGCCACAGUACAGCUGAUGACUGAUUAGAGAUGUAUCUUUACUGAGGCCCAAUUACAAUUGAGUGUUUAAUUGCUUCUGGCCAGCAUCAGCCCCCUGGGCAGGAGGCAGCUGGUUGCCUGCAGUCCUUAUGCCCCAGAAGAGUAGGGGAAAAAACUUUUCUGGCUCUGUGGAUUGUUUGUCUUUGGUGCAAUUUGGAAAAAAAAAUCAGUUAUCAUUUUUAUUGCUGUAAAUAUUACUCUAUUAUUUUUCCUUUAAGUGAGAUAACCUUUAAUUAGCUGCAUGAGCGAAACCACACAGUCUCUCUUAAAUUACUUAAAUUUAGUCUCAUAAGUUUGUUUUAUUUGUGAGAAGGUAGCAGAUUUUUUAACACCAUCUAUUCCUACCCUACUCAUUAAGAGCCUGAUGCUGCAAGUCCUCCAAGCCCUGAUGUUGUGUCCUCCCAUGACUGUGCCUUUCAUACUUCAUUUCUGAGGGACAGGUGAGGUCUCAGACUCGUGGGUAACUUGCUGUGCUUCACCCCAGCACCAGCACUUCUUCUGGAGAAGGAAGGUCCCUCCUUGCAUCCACCACAGGAUGCAGUGUACUGGGGUAGCUUUGCGAGCCCCCACUGCUGUGAACAAGUUACAAGUUACUGUACCAAGAACUGAAUAUUAGCAGUUAAUUUGGCACAUAAUCCCAAGAGGAGUAUUCUUUUAAAUAGAGGUAAAUUAUAUUUAAUAUAACUUUAGUAUGUCUUAUAUAUAGUAUAUGUAAAUUACAGCAAUAUUUAUAUCUAUUUUUUGCAUAUAUAUCUAUAUAUUUUUUUGCAUAUAUAUAUAUAUAUAUAUAUAUAUAUAUAUAAAAAUUAGUAUAGUUUGGUGUUUUAGGAUCAGUUUCCCACAGGGGGGUUUCUGAAAGCAGAAGUUCCUUGUUGCUGGAGGCAUCUCAUUUGCCUGCCUGUGUCUUGGCAGCGGGAUGUCCUGUGAGCAUUCAGGCAGUGCCAAGGGCAGGGCAGGAGCUGUGGGGCAAAUGGGGCUGGUAUAAAGUGGUGGCACAGCUCGUGCCCAGCCUGUAGCUGCAGGUGGAAACACAGCUCACUAGAGAAGGCACUGGGGGGCUCCGUGAAACCCUCCCUGGAAACAGAUGACUUGUGGCCUUCAGCCCCUGGGGCAGCAGUCUGCUUUCCUUCCUCCUCUCACAUUAGUAACUCCUCUUCUUAUUCUUCUUCCAUGCUAUGGGAAGGUUCAGCUGGCUCUUUUUCUUGAAACCAGAAUAUCCAUGUGCCUGCCUGGUUUGUAAUUUAUUCACAAAAGAGAUUUUUUUUCCAUUCAAUCCCCUUUCCUUUGAUUCUCUGUUUUUGUCACUACUCUCCAGGUUUAUGGAGUUGUGCCUUUCCUCAAACCUACCAGUUACACUGGGCAAUGUAGAGAGGAAUGUGACCUGGGAACUUUUGACAGUGACCUGGGAAAAAUAUAUGAAGGUUCCCUGUGUUCUCCAAAUCAGGUUGAAUGAGCUGUAGAUGCAGGCAGACAUCUGGGCUGCAAGGGAGCAAAGAUCACUUCUGUGCAACCACCACAGACAACUGGGAGCAUCCUUGCCAGAGGCUGAUGCUUGUAAGCCAUACCCCUUCCUGCAACUUUCAUAGCACCUGUGUUUUUCAGUGCCAGCCACGGGAAUGGUAGUGACUCUCAGGUGUUCCCCUUCUCAUGUGGUGAAAGUCCCACAGAUGUGCCAAAUCCAUGUAAAGAACUACCUCAAUGAUCUGAGCAAAUAGGGCAGCUUUUAAUUUACAUCAUUAAAGCAAUGGGGAAAGGCAUUAUACAUCUUUAUCUAGGUCAGGAGAGCUCGUACUUUCUCUUAUAUAACAUGGUCACAGAAUCCAAAGACAGAAAAUUAGUUUUUACUGCUUUUAGACCAAUUCUAAGCAAAGUCCUUUCCAGUGUAGUUCUAACUUCAGGUAGACUUGUUUUUCAUACCUUCAUUAAAAAACUAAGAUGAACAAAAGAACUACUAUUGAGUUGCUUUUGUUAUACAAAAUGGUAUGUGCAUUUAAAAGCCAAUACUCUGGAGACUAUUUAGUUUUCUGUCAGUCAGCCUAAUGCAUUUCAUAUUCCGUAUAUCAAGUGAGAUCUUGUAUCAGCUGUAAUUAUGGGUGAGACUGGACCAUCUAAACAAUCUCUAUGUUGAGCUGGUUACAGCAGGAGAUAGAACUGAAAUUGCAGCCUGUGCAGCUCAAGAUUCCUCCAUUUCAGAAAGCCCCUUCCUGAAAAUCAGAUUUGCCUUCACUGACUAAUAUUUGGUAUGACUUAUAUAAUUAAGUGUGUUUGUCUGCACAGGAUUUUAAACUCUAAAUGCAGGUGUGCUACAGUUAGGAGAUAUUUAAACACACAAGACUAAAGGAGAGCUAUUUGAAUGUAGAUGUGAAUUAUUUAAGUCUUUAGUAACUGGGCACUCUGAAUAAAGUGUUUAGGACAGUAUGUAAGUGGGAUGUAUUUCUAUUCAGAAAAUGUUUCUAUAACUGUAGUGCAUCAAUGUGGGCAUAAUUACCUGCUGAUCUCAAACAUGAAAUCUCAGUUAAAUACAUUUUAAUCCUAUUAGUACAACAGAGCCAGUACAGCAGAUGAUGAACAAAACAGUCUUCAUUAGCCAAGCCCUAUUCCUUUGUCCUUGGUGUUUCCAACACACCAAUGAAUACAGCUUCUGGGUGCCACAUGGAGUAACCAAUUAUGUCCACACAAUUAGUGGGACAUGAACAAGGAGAGUGGAAGCAGGCCCCGAGUCUGCAAUUUACCUUUAUAGGCAUACUCGGCCCUAUGCCUGUUCAGCUCAGUCAGGUAGCUCCUUUAGAUUUACUAGCUUGGAGGGCAGUUGUUCUUAUGGAGUAUCAAUGGUUGUCUGGCCUGGGUUAGUCUGGAAGAAGCUCGGCACAAUUCUUAAUGUGGUUGACAAUGUGGUUUCUUCAGGAGUGGCCCUGUGGCCCUGCCUAGAAAAUCUGUCAUUCUGUCCCAGUUUUAAAACGGGGAGCUCACUGGAUGAAACUGUGUUUCAAGUCAAGUCUUUCCUUGGGUCAGUACCUGUGUUGCCAGCACUUCAACUCUUCCAGAGUGCACAUCUGGAUCCAAAUGCUGCUCUCUGCACUACAUGACAAAUUCAGCAGUUCACCAAAGCUCACAUUUCCGCACCAACAGUAAAUGUCAGCUCUUAGUUCACCUGCUGCUUGGAUUAUCCUGUGCUUAUAAACAUGAGCUAAACUCUCUGGACUCUGUUCUGUGAGUUUCCCCCCAUUUGUCAAUUACCUGAAGAACAGAAAUUCUCCAGGGACCUUGCCCAGGACCAGAGAAAAACUGGACUCUGCUUGAGGAAAAAAGGACCAAGGAACAAGGUAGUAAAAUUGAAUUACUGGAGUGGGGAGGCAGCAGUAAGGAUCAGCACACUGGGUGUGUGCUUUCCAAAGAGGAAGUCUGGUUAACUCAGGGAGGUUUGCUGGCUGAAGUUGACAGGGACAACCAGUGCCGCCCCUGCCACUUAUGAACGACACUCUGCUUAAAUUCAGUGCAACUAGUUCUGAAAUACCUGCUUGCCCUUUCUACAAACUAGGCAAAAGGAGUCCUAGGAUCUAAAUCAUGUCUCCACCUCUGUUCACAAAUUUUAUUCUGUCUAUUGCAAAGCAACUGCUUGUAAAAUAUCCUGCAAGAAAUGGGGUGGUUUUGCUUUGAGCCAUGCUGGAGCUUUGACCCUGACUGUCUGGCCCUGCUGCCUUGUAUGCAGUGCUGUAGUCUUCUGCACUUGGGCCAGUAUGCUUUUGUAACUGGACAUAGCUCUGGCCAGAAUUGCAUGGGUCUGAGUGCCCAGACUGCAGCUGUGAGGAUGACGGACACAGUAGCAGCACUGCAUAGGGUCAUGUAUUGUCUACCUAAGGACUUCCGCAUAUUGAGGUCUUGAUAUUAGCUAUGGCUGGGGCAAAGUGUUUUAUACAUCAACAUUUCUGCAGUCUUUAACAUGCACAGGAAGUGUAUCUAAUGCUACAACACUAUUAGCAUCUAUGAGAGUAGGACAACUAAUGAGAGGGCAUGCAGCCAGGUAAAUCCAGACAGUUACUCCUGUUUGGAUAAACAGCUGAGCUGUCCCGGUCAGGAACUUUUCAUUUCUGGGGACACACUGCUUGCACAUAGGCAAAAGCAAAGUGCUUAUCGAGAUGGGUGGAUUAUUAGCCUUUAAUUAAGGAAGAUCAGACACAUGUCCAGAUCUCUGAACAGCUUUGGAUAGCUUUGCAGGCUGUUGAUAUCUGCUUUAAUCCCAUGAGUUUAUGUUGUGUACUGUAGGCUCCACAGACAUGAAAAAAUACACUGAGUCAGCCAUGAGGACUAUCUGAAACCUGAAACUUGGCUCUGGGCAUUUUCAGUCAUUGUUUUUUCCUUAUUGCGAAACAACAGUCCUACAGAUGAAAAGACUUGGUUUCUAUCAAUAUUUUUCUUUUCUGUUUAGAGAAGAGAUUUGAUUAUCAAAUAGGAAAAUGUCCUUCAGAUUGUGGGCUGCUGUGGUACAGUCCUAUUCUAUUGUUGUGCUACCAUCAAAAGGUAAAAUUGGCCAGCAGUACCAUACGCCACACCAAAAAGGAAAAAAAAAAAAAAAAAAAAAAAAAAAAAA